rnacentral:rRNA from 1 species
AAAGAGGUGGCAAGCGUUACUCGGAAUUAUUGGGUGUAAAGGGCAGGUAGGUGGCCUAGUAAGUGAGGGGUGAAAUACUGCGGUUCAAUCGCAGAACAGCCUUUCAAACUGCAUGGCUUGAGAGAACUAGAGGAAGAUGGAAUUCCCGGUGUAGAGUUUACAUUUGUUGGUAUCGGGAGGAACUCCAGCGGCGAAGGCAACCUACAGGCUUUCUACUGACAAUGAUCCGCGAGAGCUUGUUGAGCAAACAG